rnacentral:rRNA from 1 species
UCGAGGAUCUUCGGCAAUGGGCGCAAGCCCGACCGAGCGACGCCGCGUGUGCGACGAAGGCCUUCGGGUUGUAAAGCACUGUCGAGGGGGAGAAAAGCGAAAGCUUGAUCUAGCCCUGGAGGAAGCACGGGCUAAGUUCGUGCCAGCAGCCGCGGUAAGACGAACCGUGCGAACGUUGUUCGGAAUCACUGGGCUUAAAGGGCGCGUAGGCGGGCUGCCAAGUCCGUGGUGAAAUCCCCCGGCUCAACCGGGGAACGGCCAUGGAUACUGGCGGCCUCGAGGCGGGUAGGGGCGUGCGGAACUGUGGGUGGAGCGGUGAAAUGCGUUGAGAUCCACAGGAACUCCGGUGGCGAAGGCGGCACGCUGGACCCGAUCUGACGCUGAGGCGCGAAAGCCAGGGGAGCGAACGGGAUUAGAUACCCCCGUAGUCC